AGCUAUUUAUUCUCUUAGCAUUUUUUCUAUGUUUCCACAAUCUAGUAAUAGUUAUUGGACUUAAUCUGAAAGAUAAAUAAGCCUUACUUCUUCCUUUUAAUGUUUUUUUUCCUUUAAAUAGAAAAACCUGGGAAUUUUAGGAAGGAAAAUGUCAAUUCAACUAAGAAAAAAGAUGAACCUUUGAACCAAGAGUGAGUUCUCCUGGUUCCACUACUAAUUAAAACUUGUUUAAGUCAUUUAUCCUUGGAGCUCGGUUUUCUUACCUGUAAGGUGAUGAAGGGGUUAAGUUAGAAUGAUCCUUUAAUGUUCCAACAUUUCUAUAAUUGUAUAAUUGAUUAAUGUGGAAGAUCAGGAAGUUGUAGGCAGCAGAGUCGUGUUUGGAAAAAAAUUGAGCAGUGGCAUAAAGGUGUGGAAAUAGGGUCAGCAAAGCGUAUUUGGGGGCAGCAAGUUGACCUCUUGCCUGGAGCUAGAGUUUCAAGUAGGGGAGCACAAGGGAGUAUGACAGUAAAUAAACGUGGCUUCUCAACGAAAGGGAACCUUCAGAAAACCUAGUAGGAAAGGCUGUUCCUGAGUUUACUUUUGAUCCAUCUUAGAGAUUACACAUAAAACUUAAACCUCAGCUGAACUUUAAAAAAUAAAUACUUUGUAAUAGAAGAGUAUUUCCUGGCAUUAAGAUACUUUCAAACACUACAGUCACUGCCAGCGAUUUUCCAGCUUAAACCCAUGCUGUUUAAAUGCGUUGGAAAGAGCUUUAGAUAACCUUUUAUGUUUGGUUUAGACCUUUUUUUCAAGGAAAAAAAUUGAAAAGUACAGCCAUUGGCCCUGUAUACAUGAAGAGCAUAAUUGUCACAUCUUCAUUUGCUCUAUGCCUGUGUUUCAUUCUUUCUUUGCUUAUAGCCAGAGAACUUAGGAAUAAUUGCUUCUUGCCUUGGGCCAAGAAUGCAGCUAUAUAGAUAAGGGCCACAACUCAGACAUCAAAGAUUAAUAUGAAAACAUUUUCUGACAAAGUUAGAAUCAUUAUUAUUUUAUAUCAGUUUUUCCAGGUAAAAAUUUCAGCUUUAACUGGACUUUUUAAGACUAUUUUCUGAUUUUAGAAAGCAACAACGUAUAAAAAUUGGAAGUUUUCCAGAAGUAUUCAUAUGAA
rnacentral:lncRNA from 1 species